CUACAUACAGGCUUGAUAGAGAAUUGUGAAAUGUAUUAGUCACGAUGACACACAACGUCACAAUCAGGAUCCGAAACAGUGACACGUCAAAGCUACGUGGCCAUUAUAACGAAAAGAUGAAAAACUACUUCCUUUUAUGAUGCCCUUUGAAGAAGAUAAUAUGAAAGUCUACUAAAAUGUUAUGUCGAGGGAGAAAAUAUAGCAUAUCAAAUUGAGAGAAGGAGAAGGAGAAGAAUAAGAAGUAAUAGAGGAGGAAGAGAGUGUAGAAAAGGAAGAUGAGCUCCGCAAAAGGCCUGAAACUUUGAGGGAGGAGGUCAGUCGAUUAGAUCGAUUCCUGCACUCACCUGAUACUUAAUUUAUCGACCCUGAAAGGAUGAAAUGCAAAGUCGACCUCGGCGGAAUUUGAACUCAAGUAAAAGAAUAAAAGAAAACGUUUCAAAAUUCAUUUCCUUUGACCAUAAGAAAGAAGCAAUAAUUGUCUAUAAGCAUGUUUUAAUUACUCGUAUUUUGUAUGCUAAAUAAUAACCAUGGAAUUCUUUUUCUUGGUGGAAAGCUAAUUGAAAUUCCAUCUACCGACUUAAUUACUUCCAGUUGUGUCUGACAACUUAAAUAUGGUAUAUAUGUGAUGUAUAUUUUAAUAGCGAUGUCAAUAUUCUCAAAGAAAAGCAAAACAAAAGAUGACAUUUUUCAAA